rnacentral:rRNA from 1 species
CCGGCAAACGGGUGCGGAACACGUACACAACCUUCCUAUAAGUGGGGAAUAGCCCAGAGAAAUUUGGAUUAAUACCCCGUAACAUAACGAUGUGGCAUCACAUUGUUAUUAUAGCUUCGGCGCUUAUUGAUGGGUGUGCGGCUGAUUAGAUAGUUGGCGGGGUAACGGCCCACCAAGUCUACGAUCAGUAGCUGAUGUGAGAGCAUGAUCAGCCACACGGGCACUGAGACACGGGCCCGACUCCUACGGGAGGCAGCAGUAAGGAAUAUUGGUCAAUGGACGCAAGUCUGAACCAGCCAUGCCGCGUGAAGGAUUAAGGUCCUCUGGAUUGUAAACUUCUUUUAUCUGGGACGAAAAAAGGCUUUUCUAAGUCACUUGACGGUACCAGAUGAAUAAGCACCGGCUAACUCCGUGCCAGCAGCCGCGGUAAUACGGAGGGUGCAAGCGUUAUCCGGAUUCACUGGGUCUAAAGGGUGCGUAGGCGGGCAGGUAAGUCAGUGGUGAAAUCCUGGAGCUUAACUCCAGAACUGCCAUUGAUACUAUCUGUCUUGAAUAUUGUGGAGGUAAGCGGAAUAUGUCAUGUAGCGGUGAAAUGCUUAGAUAUGACAUAGAACACCUAUUGCGAAGGCAGCUUACUACGCAUAUAUUGACGCUGAGGCACGAAAGCGUGGGGAUCAAACAGGAUUAGAUACCCUGGUAGUCCAC